CCUACGGGUGGCAGCAGUGGGGAAUAUUGGACAAUGGGCGAAAGCCUGAUCCAGCCAUGCCGCGUGUGUGAAGAAGGCCUUCGGGUUGUAAAGCACUUUCAGUGGGGAAGAAAGCCUUGGGGCUAAUACCCUCGAGGAAGGACAUCACCCACAGAAGAAGCACCGGCUAACUCCGUGCCAGCAGCCGCGGUAAUACGGAGGGUGCGAGCGUUAAUCGGAAUUACUGGGCGUAAAGCGCGCGUAGGCGGUCUGAUAAGCCGGUUGUGAAAGCCCCGGGCUCAACCUGGGAACGGCAUCCGGAACUGUCAGGCUAGAGUGCAGGAGAGGAAGGUAGAAUUCCCGGUGUAGCGGUGAAAUGCGUAGAGAUCGGGAGGAAGACCAGUGGCGAAGGCGGCCUUCUGGACUGACACUGACGCUGAGGUGCGAAAGCGUGGGUAGCAAACAGGAUUAGAUACCCUAGUAGUC
rnacentral:rRNA from 1 species